UACAGAGGGUGCGAGCGUUGUCCGGAAUCACUGGGCGUAAAGGGCGCGUAGGCGGUCUGGUAAGCGUGUGGUGAAAGCCCGGGGCUCAACCCCGGGUCGGCCACUGCGAACUGCUGGACUGGAGCAGAUCAGAGGCAGGCGGAAGUUCCGGGUGUAGCGGUGGAAUGCGUAGAGAUCCGGGAAGAACGACCGGUGGCGAAGGCGGCCUGCUGGGAUCUUGCUGACGGCUGAGGCGCGAGCAGCGG
rnacentral:rRNA from 1 species